CGAAAGCCUGACGGAGCAACGCCGCGUGUGGGAAGAAGGCCUUUGGGCUGUCAACCACUUUUCUCAGGGAAGAAGUUCUGACGGUACCUGAGGAAUCAGCCUCGGCUAACUCCGUGCCAGCAGCCGCGGUAAUACGGAGGAGGCAAGCGUUAUCCGGAAUUAUUGGGCGUAAAGCGUCCGCAGGGGGUCUUCCAAGUCUGCUGUCAAAGCCCGGGGCUCAACCCCGACGCGGCAGUGGAAACUGGGAGGCUAGAGUACGGCAGGGGUAGAGGGAAUUCCCAGUGUAGCGGUGAAAUGCGUAGAGAUUGGGAAGAACACCGGUGGCGAAAGCGCUCUACUGGGUCGCACCUGACCCUCAGGGACGAAAGCUAAGGUAGCG
rnacentral:rRNA from 1 species